UGAGAAUGCAAGGAAGCUUGGAG
rnacentral:piRNA from 1 species